GAUGAACGCUGGCGGCGUGCCUAAUACAUGCAAGUCGAGCGAACAGACGAGGAGCUUGCUCCUCUGACGUUAGCGGCGGACGGGUGAGUAACACGUGGAUAACCUACCUAUAAGACUGGGAUAACUUCGGAAAACCGGAGCUAAUACCGGAUAAUAUAUUGAACCGCAUGGUUCAAUAGUGAAAGACGGUUUUGCUGUCACUUAUAGAUGGAUCCGCGCCGCAUUAGCUAGUUGGUAAGGUAACGGCUUACCAAGGCAACGAUGCGUAGCCGACCUGAGAGGGUGAUCGGCCACACUGGAACUGAGACACGGUCCAGACUCCUACGGGAGGCAGCAGUAGGGAAUCUUCCGCAAAGGGCGAAAGCCUGACGGAGCAACGCCGCGUGAGUGAUGAAGGUCUUCGGAUCGUAAAACUCUGUUAUUAGGGAAGAACAAAUGUGUAAGUAACUAUGCACGUCUUGACGGUACCUAAUCAGAAAGCCACGGCUAACUACGUG
rnacentral:rRNA from 1 species